UCGUUCAUAGCAUGUCUGCCGAAAUAGCUCAGUUGGGAGAGCGUUAGACUGAAGAUCUAAAUGUCCCUGGUUCGAUCCCGGGUUUCGGCAGAGACUUGAAAGUCAUUUUUUAAUUUUCAAGGAAAAUACACGCUCGCAUUUUUUAAAAAACACGAAAGAAAUUAUACGUCAGUCGGAUAGUAGCCUAUGACAUCUAAUGGAUAGUAAAUAAAUUGCAGUAGCCUAACUGUAAAGGACAUGUCCAGGCUGUGUUAGGUCUAUUUUACCAAGGAGAGUGGUGGUGUGCUGCAUCAGAUGACCGGGCCUUCACAAUCCCCCGACCUCAACCCAAGAGAUGGUUUGGGAUGAGUCAGACCGCAGAGUGAAUGAAACGCAGCCAACAAGUGAAUGAAUAAGUGUUCUAAAACUUUUAACCGGUGACAGUAAAUUGCCCCAGAAAUAAGGGAGGAUUCCUCCGCCAUGUUUGGAGAGCAGUGAAGCGACUCACCUGUGGCUGCUGCCGACAUGCUAGAGCUUGACCAAGCCAGGACUAAAAUACAUAGCCUAGACAAGUAGUCAUUGUUAUAUGAUCAUGUGCAAGCCCUACCUUUUCAAAAUCAGUUAUUUCAUUAUUAAAAUCGUUAUUGUAUUGAUAUGAAUAAAUUGCUUAUUCAUUAGA